CUGUAUAGAAAAGAAUGCAUUGGAUGGAUGCCCGGGCAUUGAGAAAGAAGGACGCUUUCAGAGGUAAAAGGCCAUGGGGAGAUCUCGUCUGUGAUCCCUGGAUCUACGAUCGAGAAACCGUAUCCAAACUCCUUGGCUAGUCUGCACUCUUUGAACUUUUCAAACUUAGCGAACUGAAACAUCUUAGUAGCUAAAGGAAGGGAAAUCAAUCGAGACCUCGUUAGUAGCGGCAAGCGAUAGUGGAUUGGGGGUUUUCAGAAAAAGAAAGACGAGGCUUUGUUAUUCACUGAAGUUGAUCUUCUUUGAAUCACUCCGUGGGGUCGAGCGAGUUCCUCAGCGAAGUGUGAACGUGAACUUCUUUUUCUUUUUUGCCAGGUUUCAUUCGAUUUUUUGUGGAUUGGAUGAUGGAAAAACCAACAAGUCGCUUGACCUUUCAUACGAGGUCAAGGGUCAAAGAAUUUGAGUUGUGAAAAGGUUGGAAGAUUUGGCUAAAGAUGGUGAUAGCCCUGUAGAUUCGUUCCCAUGGUUCGAUCCUCCCCAAUCAAACGCGGCGUGUUCAAAUUUUGAUCGCUUUUAUAUGAGAAAGGGGGACCACCCUCUAAGCCUAAGUAUACCUCAAUUACCUCAAUGAUUGAUAGCGUACAAGUACCGUUAGGGAAAGGUGAAAAGAACCUUAUUUAGGGAGUGCAAUAGAGAACCUGAGAUCUGAUGCUUUCAAUCAGUCGAAGGAGUGGCAAACCUUGACUUAAGAUUCUUUUACUCAAGCUAUCUCACUCUAACGACGUACCUUUUGCAUGACGGGUCAACGAGAAAAUGGGUACUGCGGCUUAAGCCAUUAGGUGUAGGCACUUCCCAGAGGUGGAAGAUUCUCGUUCUUCCUAUUUGACCUGAAACCAAUCGAUCUAGCCAUUAGCAGGUUGAAGAGAGCUCUAACAGGCCUUAGAGGACCGAACCCACGUAUGUGGCAAAAUACGGGGAUGACUUGUGGCUAGGGGUAAAAGGCCAACCAAGAUCGGAUAUAGUUGGUUUUCUGCAAAAUCUAUUUCAGUAGAGUGUAUGAUAUCGAUGGCCCGAGGUAGAGCACUCAAUGGGCUAGGGUGGCCCCAUUUUCACCUUAUCAACCCCAGGGAAACUCCGAAUACAGGCCUAGAUCGUUUGUACAGACAGACUUUUAGGGUGCUAAGAUCCAAAGUGGAGAAGGAAACAGCCCAGAUCAUACGCUAAGGUCCCUAAGCAAUCACAUAGUGGAAAAGGAAGUUCUCAAGUGAUGACAACCAGGAGGUGGGCUUGAAAGCAACCAUCUUUUAGAGAAAGCGUAAUAGCUCACUUGUCUAACUCCAUGGCACCAAAAAUGUCUACGGGCUCAAGUGAUUCGCCGAAGCGAUAAGACCUUGAAAGCAGCUUUUUCAAGUGUCAGUAGCGGGACAUUCUAUCAAUUGAGGAAGGUUUUUGGUGACAAGACCUGUAGAUAUCAGAAGUGAGAAUGCUGAUAUGAGUAACGAGAAAUCCUGUGAAAAACACGAUCGCCUGCCAGUGGAAGGCUUUCUACGUUCAGUUAAACUACGCAGAGUGAAUCGGUCCCUAAGGAACCCCUGAAAGGGCUACCUGGGUACACGAAAGUGACGAAGUAGCUUUGACUACAGGAUCAUGCCUGUCUGUUGGAGCGAAUAGGAUGAUCGGGUCGAGGGCUGCCCCAUCUUCCCUUCACUCUCCUUUCCCGCUCCGUGGGAUUCACCUUGAGUCAUUAAAGCCUUUUUGACUCGGCCUAGUACGGUCGCCUUACGCGACUGGCGAGGCCGAAAUGCAAAACUCUCAUAUCCUUUUGGUGACCGCUACGUGGGGGGCGGACACUUUUUUUGUUAUCUAAAGGCUUUGACUCUGAAGUGGGCUUUGACUCGGCCCAGCGGGCGAGGCGGGCUCCAGCUCGGCACACCCGCUGACACCUUUUUCAACACUUGAGAGUGUGCGCUUUGGUUUUUAAUGUCUUUCAGCCUGACGAGUCUACAAGCCUAUCUCAUUCCAGUGCUCACCUUUGAGUAGGGGUACCAAGAUAGGUACCGUCAUAGUCGUGAGUCUGUUUAUAGUCGCGACG
rnacentral:ncRNA from 1 species